ACCCGCUGAACUUAAGCAUAUCAAUAAGCGGAGGAAAAGAAACCAACAGGGAUUGCCCUAGUAACGGCGAGUGAAGCGGCAACAGCUCAAAUUUGAAAUCUGGCCCUUUCAGGGUCCGAGUUGUAAUUUGUAGAGGGUGCUUUGGCGUUGGCUGCGGUCUAAGUUCCUUGGAACAGGACGUCACAGAGGGUGAGAAUCCCGUACGUGGCUGACAGCCCUCGCCGUGUAAAGCCCCUUCGACGAGUCGAGUUGUUUGGGAAUGCAGCUCUAAAUGGGAGGUAAAUUUCUUCUAAAGCUAAAUACUGGCCAGAGACCGAUAGCGCACAAGUAGAGUGAUCGAAAGAUGAAAAGCACUUUGGAAAGAGAGUCAAAAAGCACGUGAAAUUGUUGAAAGGGAAGCGCUUGCAGCCAGACUUGCCUGUAGUUGCUCAUCCGGGCUUUUGCCCGGUGCACUCUUCUGCGGGCAGGCCAGCAUCAGUUCGGGCGGAUGGAUAAAGGCCUGCUAAAUGUACCUCUCCUCGGGGAGGACUUAUAGGGUAGGCGUCAUACAUCCAGCCUGGACUGAGGUCCGCGCAUCUGCUAGGAUGCUGGCGUAAUGGCUGUAAGCGGCCCGUCUUGAAACACGGACCAAGGAGUCUAACAUCUAUGCGAGUGUUUGGGUGUCAAGCCCGGGCGCGUAAUGAAAGUGAACGGAGGUGGGAACCCCUCGGGGCGCACCAUCGACCGAUCCUGAUGUCUUCGGAUGGAUUUGAGUAAGAGCAUAGCUGUUGGGACCCGAAAGAUGGUGAACUAUGCCUGAAUAGGGUGAAGCCAGAGGAAACUCUGGUGGAGGCUCGCAGCGGUUCUGACGUGCAAAUCGAUCGUCAAAUUUGGGCAUAGGGGCGAAAGACUAAUCGAACUAUCUAGUAGCUGGUUCCUGCCGAAGUUUCCCUCAGGA
rnacentral:rRNA from 1 species